UUUUGAGAUUUUUUUUCAAUUUUAAAAAAAAAAAAAAAAAAAAAAAAAA
rnacentral:ribozyme from 1 species